rnacentral:rRNA from 1 species
AUUGAACGCUGGCGGCAGGCUUAACACAUGCAAGUCGAGCGGAGUGAAGGUGCUGGCACCAUCACUUAGCGGCGGACGGGUGAGUAAUGCUUAGGAAUCUGCCUAUUAGUGGGGGACAACAUCUCGAAAGGGAUGCUAAUACCGCAUACGUCCUACGGGAGAAAGCAGGGGAUCACUUGUGACCUUGCGCUAAUAGAUGAGCCUAAGUCGUAUUAGCUAGUUGGUGGGGUAAAUGCCUACCAAGGCGACGAUCUGUAGCGGGUCUGAGAGGAUGAUCCGCGACACUGGGACUGAGACACGGCCCAAACUCAUACGGGAGGCAGCAGUGGGGAAUAUUGGACAAUGGGGGGAACCCUAAUCCAGCCAUGCCGCGUGUGUGAAGAAGGCCUUAUGGUUGUAAAGCACUUUAAGCGAGGAGGAGGCUCUUUUGGUUAAUACCCAAGAUGAGUGGACGUUACUCGCAGAAUAAGCACCGGCUAACUCUGUGCCAGCAGCCGCCGUAA